CCUACGGGAGGCAGCAGUGGGGAAUAUUGCACAAUGGGGGAAACCCUGAUGCAGCAACGCCGCGUGAAGGAAGACGGUUUUCGGAUUGUAAACUUCUGUUCUUAGUGAAGAAAAAUGACGGUAGCUAAGGAGCAAGCCACGGCUAACUACGUGCCAGCAGCCGCGGUAAUACGUAGGUGGCAAGCGUUGUCCGGAAUUACUGGGUGUAAAGGGAGCGUAGACGGCUGAGCAAGCCUGAAGUGAAAGGCGGGGGCCCAACCCCUGGACUGCUUUGGGAACUGUACGGCUGGAGUGCAGGAGAGGUA
rnacentral:rRNA from 1 species